rnacentral:rRNA from 1 species
UACGGAGGGAGCGAGCGUUGUCCGGAGUUACUGGGCGUAAAGCGCGCGUAGGCGGGUAAUUAAGUGAGAAGUGAAAGGCUGGGGCUCAACCCCAUGCAGUGCUCCUCAUACUGGUUUUCUUGAGGGUGGUAGAGAGAAGUGGAAUGGCUGGUGUAGCGGUGGAAUGCGCAGAUAUCAGGAGGAACACCGAUGGCGAAGGCAGAUCUCUGGGCCGUAACUGACGCUGAGGAGCGAAAGCAUGGGGAGCGAACAGG